rnacentral:rRNA from 1 species
UACGAAGGGGGCUAGCGUUGCUCGGAAUUACUGGGCGUAAAGCGCACGUAGGCGGCUCUUUAAGUCGGGGGUGAAAUCCUGGAGCUCAACUCCAGAACUGCCUUCGAUACUGUAGAGCUUGAGUUCGGGAGAGGUGAGUGGAACUGCGAGUGUAGAGGUGAGAUUCGUAGAUAUUCGCAAGAACACCAGUGGCGAAGGCGGCUCACUGGCCCGAUACUGACGCUGAGGCACGAAAGCGUGGGGAGCAAACAGG